UUGGACAUUCUCGGUGUCAUAGGGACAUGCCGAACGUUAUUCUGAGGAGUUAUGAGGCAAAGUUCCUAUAUCAACCCACUGUGAUGUGUAUAUAACAAUGUGCUGCAACACACGUAUCCCUGUGACGCUGCAAAAAUUUGCUGCUAUGCGUGUUACAUUAUACACAUUAUGUCGUCUGCUACAGUGUACAGGGUGUCUCGCGAAGUAUAUGUGUAUACGUCCCUGGCAAACACUGAUAUGGAAUAUUACUAUGUAUUUUUGGUAGUUCCAAUUGUUUAUCUUUUCUCAUAAUAAUAACUUAAUUUCUUGAAAGCAUGGGAAUGGAGCCCUAUCUUUAAAUCGGCAAAAGUUCCGGCCUAUCACAAGGAGACUUGACACGAACACACCGCAGCCUCCCAAAACACACAUACGCUAAACAAAAUAAACCAAACCAAACCAAACCAGAGCUAUUACUUAGAAUUUGAAAUAUGUCCUGUUACCCAGUGUAUAGCUAUAAAUCACUAAUACAGAAGAAAAUGUCCCAUCAAAUGUGAGCAGCUGAUUUGCUUAGACAAGCAGCUUAAACUGGUAGUGAGUAGAGUACUCAACUAAUCCACCAAUGAAUUCAGAUGAUUGUGAAAUGUCGGUCCAAGCUGUAGUAAGGAAUGUUCCAUAUGCCAGAUCUAGAUCAGGAAACAGCUACAUGGUACCCAGAGCUACAAAACAAUGAGGCCAGUCUGUUACAGUGUGUUGAUGAAACGUCCAAAAUGGUGUAUGAAGAGUGCAUGGACCAAAACAGCUAUUCCACUAUUACAGCU